GUUGAUCACCAAACUGUGAAUGUCAUGGGGUGCAUUUUAUUUACUUUUUUCAAGUAGAAAUAGUUGCUGUUCUUGCAAUUCUAGGAUUGUGGAGCCUUGAGGCACCAAGACUCCAAGGAGUCGCAGCGUCUUUUGUUUUGGUAAGAGAAGUGAAUGGAAAGUUAGACAGAAACCGGAGGACACCACCAUCUGGGAGGAUGGAGCAGAGGUUCCCUGGGCAGAUGUGGGAUGGCCACUUCGUUUCAGAGGGGAGAGUGGUGCCUCCUGAAAAACAACAGCAAACACCUCUCAGGGGCAGGAGCUUAACUGGAACAUAUUCUCCAGUAGCAUGGACCAGGUAAAUGGCAGAUUAAAUUGCUUUCCUAUUUAAGCAAAUACACAAGGAUGAAAUUGUCCAUUUUGUUUUAUACUUCACUGUCGUAUGAGCCCUGCUCAUUAGAAUUCUGUCCAAAAUAUGGACAAAAUAUGUCCAAAAAUGUCCCUUCAGAGGUGGUUAUUCUGACAACCUUAAAAAAGACUUUGAAGAGAACAGCUAGAUUAUGAACUUAAAUGAUGAGCUCACUUGGUAUUUUUAGCAAGAACCUUUCUGAAAAAGAAAUGUUCAGUAAAGUAAGAAGUUGCUGCUCACCACAUUCACCCUGGUAUUUUGAGACGCGUUUGCAGAAUUACAGUGACAUGGAGCCCAAGUGCGCAGAUGGACUAUUAUUCCUCUGAUUCACUGACUUUUAAUUUUCUCUGAAUGCAUCCUGGCUCAUAGCUCUUGUAUGCCACCUGACAUGUCUGUGACUCAAAAUAGAAGAAGGAAUCCUCUUUUUCACUAGAUGCACAUAUAAC
rnacentral:lncRNA from 1 species